UACGCAGGGUGCGAGCGUUGUCCGGAAUUAUUGGGCGUAAAGAGCUCGUAGGCGGUUUGUCGCGUCGACUGUGAAAACCCGAGGCUUAACCUCGGGCCUGCAGUCGAUACGGGCAGACUAGAGUUCGGUAGGGGAGACUGGAAUUCCUGGUGUAGCGGUGAAAUGCGCAGAUAUCAGGAGGAACACCGGUGGCGAAGGCGGGUCUCUGGGCCGAUACUGACGCUGAGGAGCGAAAGCGUGGGGAGCGAACAGG
rnacentral:rRNA from 1 species